UACGAAGGACCCAAGCGUUAUCCGGAUUUAUUGGGUUUAAAGGGUGCGUAGGCGGAUUAUUAAGUCAGUGGUGAAAGCCUGCAGCUUAACUGCAGAACUGCCAUUGAUACUGAUGAUCUUGAGUAUGAUUGAGGUGGACGGAAUGUGUCAUGUAGCGGUGAAAUGCUUAGAUAUGACACAGAACACCGAUUGCGAAGGCAGCUCACUAAGCCAUAACUGACGCUGAUGCACGAAAGCGUGGGGAGCAAACAGG
rnacentral:rRNA from 1 species